GAUGAACGCUGACAGAAUGCUUAACACAUGCAAGUCUUUGGCGAAGCUGUGCUUGCACCGCCUAGCCAAGGCGGACGGGUGAGUAACGCGUAAGGAACUUGCCCUGCAGUCAGGGAUAACAGACGGAAACGACUGAUAAGACCUGGUAAAGUCAGGCGGACUCAUGUCCAGCCUGAUGAAAAGAGAUGCUGCAGGAGAGCCUUGCGUCCUAUUAGCUUGUUGGUGGGGUAACGGCCCACCAAGGCGAUGAUAGGUAGCCGGCCUGAGAGGGUGGACGGCCACAAGGGGACUGAGAUACGGCCCUUACGCCUACGGGAGGCAGCAGGGGGGAAUAUUGGACAAGGGGGGGCAACCCUGAUCCAGCAAUUCUGUGUGCACGAUGAAGGUUUUCGGAGUGUAAAGUGCUUUCAGCAGGGAAGAAAAAAAUGACGGUACCUGCAGAAGAAGCGACGGCUAAAUACGUG
rnacentral:rRNA from 1 species